rnacentral:miRNA from 1 species
ACUCGUAAUCGGUUAGUGUUUUGUUUAUACUUUUGUGAUAAGUGAUUUUAUGAUUUCAUGUUUAGAUGAAAUCAUAAAAUCACUUAUCACAAAAGUAUAAACAAAACACUAACCGAUUACGAGUA